CCUCAACUUCUCUUCAUCCCGUUCAAAGUCUUCCUGAUCCCCAAACUCCCGGAUUGAUCCCAAACAAGCCAGCAACAAAAUAGAGUUUAUCCUCUCCAUCAUUCCGCUUGCUCCUGGCUCAACAACUAACCUCCCGUGUGCGCUUCAUUCGGAUCCAAAGAACAGGGCCUUCCACGUAUUCCAACUCCCUAGUUCCUUCUAUCUCGGUUCAUCUUUAUCUUCCCGUUCACGUGUCUUCCGGCAUCACCUCUCAACCGUGAACAUAAUCCUCUGUAUCUCGUUCGCAUCUUUCCCAACUCUCGGAUGAGAACCAGCCAUCACGAUGCAUCCUCUUCCCCUGUUCUGAAACAAAGCUAACAACCGAACCAAAACCAACAUCCCAAACCUCCCAGAUUUACCAGCUCUCACCUUGCUUCCCGAGCUCAUCCUCUCAAGGAAUAGAGCUGUCAUCCCAUCCGAAUCCAUCCCAGAUUUUCUCCAGCUCCGUAUUCAACUGCAUCCUCCCCUGUUUUGAAACAACAACAAUAGUAAGAUCUCCUCCCAGCCGUUCCAAGCUUCCGAGUUCAUCCU
rnacentral:lncRNA from 1 species